rnacentral:rRNA from 1 species
CAGUCGCCGCGGUAAUACGUAGGGCGCAAGCGUUAUCCGGAAUUAUUGGGCGUAAAGAGCUCGUAGGCGGUUUGUCGCGUCUGCCGUGAAAGUCCGGGGCUCAACCCCGGAUCUGCGGUGGGUACGGGCAGACUAGAGUGAUGUAGGGGAGACUGGAAUUCCUGGUGUAGCGGUGAAAUGCGCAGAUAUCAGGAGGAACACCGAUGGCGAAGGCAGGUCUCUGGGCAUUAACUGACGCUGAGGAGCGAAAGCAUGGGGAGCGAACAGGAUUAGAUACCCCGUAGUCCCUGUCUCUUAUACA